rnacentral:rRNA from 1 species
AGACUCCUACGGGAGGCAGCAGUGGGGAAUAUUGCACAAUGGGCGAAAGCCUGAUGCAGCGACGCCGCGUGAGGGAUGACGGCCUUCGGGUUGUAAACCUCUUUCAGUAGGGAAGAAGCGAAAGUGACGGUACCUGCAGAAGAAGCGCCGGCUAACUACGUGCCAGCAGCCGCGGUAAUACGUAGGGCGCAAGCGUUAUCCGGAAUUAUUGGGCGUAAAGAGCUCGUAGGCGGUUUGUCGCGUCUGCCGUGAAAGUCCGGGGCUCAACUCCGGAUCUGCGGUGGGUACGGGCAGACUAGAGUGAUGUAGGGGAGACUGGAAUUCCUGGUGUAGCGGUGAAAUGCGCAGAUAUCAGGAGGAACACCGAUGGCGAAGGCAGGUCUCUGGGCAUUAACUGAACGCUGAGGAGCGAAAGCAUGGGGAGCGAACAGGAUUAGAUACCCUGGUAGUCCAUGCCGUAAACGUUGGGCACUAGGUGUGGGGGACAUUCCACGUUUUCCGCGCCGUAGCUAACGCAUUAAGUGCCCCGCCUGGGGAGUACGGCCGCAAGGCUAAAACUCAAAGGAAUUGACGGGGGCCCGCACAAGCGGCGGAGCAUGCGGAUUAAUUCGAUGCAACGCGAAGAACCUUACCAAGGCUUGACAUGAACCGGAAACACCUGGAAACAGGUGCCCCGCUUGCGGUCGGUUUACAGGUGGUGCAUGGUUGUCGUCAGCUCGUGUCGUGAGAUGUUGGGUUAAGUCCCGCAACGAGCGCAACCCUCGUUCUAUGUUGCCAGCGCGUUAUGGCGGGGACUCAUAGGAGACUGCCGGGGUCAACUCGGAGGAAGGUGGGGACGACGUCAAAUCAUCAUGCCCCUUAUGUCUUGGGCUUCACGCAUGCUACAAUGGCCGGUACAAAGGGUUGCGAUACUGUGAGGUGGAGCUAAUCCCAAAAAGCCGGUCUCAGUUCGGAUUGGGGUCUGCAACUCGACCCCAUGAAGUCGGAGUCGCUAGUAAUCGCAGAUCAGCAACGCUGCGGUGAAUACGUUCCCGGGCCUUGUACACACCGCCCGU